rnacentral:rRNA from 1 species
CCUACGGUGUGCAGCAGUGAGGAAUAUUGGUCGAUGGGCGCAAGCCUGAACCAGCCAAGUCGCGUGAGGGAUGACGGUCCUAUGGAUUGUAAACCUCUUUUGUCGGGGAGCAAGGCCCGCCACGUGUGGCGGGAAGGAGAGUACCCGAAGAAAAAGCAUCAGCUAACUCCGUUCCAGCAGCCGCGGUAAUACGGAGGAUGCGAACGGUAUCCGGUUUUAUUAGGUUUAAAGGGUGCGUAGGCGGAAGGUUACGGCAGCGGUCAAAUGUCGGUGCUCAACACCGGCCUGCCGUUGAAACUGGUCUUCUUGAGUGAGCGAGAAGUACGCGGAAUGCGUGGUGUAGCGGUGAAAUG